rnacentral:rRNA from 1 species
GUUUGAUCAUGGCUCAGAGUGAACGCUGGCGGCGUGCUUAACACAUGCAAGUCGAACGAGAACGGUCCUUCGGGAUGUCAGCUAAGUGGCGGAUGGGUGAGUAAUGUAUAGUUAAUCUGCCCUUUAGAGGGGGAUAACAGUUGGAAACGACUGCUAAUACCCCAUACUCCUUUUACAUUAAUUGUAAUUGGGAAACGUUUUUUCGCUAAAGGAUGAGACUAUAUGGUAUCAGGUAGUUGGUGGGGUAAGAGCCCACCAAGCCAAUGACGCCUAGCUGGUCUGAGAGGAUGAUCAGCCACACUGGAACUGAGACACGGUCCAGACUCCUACGGGAGGCAGCAGUGGGGAAUAUUGCACAAUGGAGGAAACUCUGAUGCAGCAACGCCGCGUGGAGGAUGACGCAUUUCGGUGUGUAAACUCCUUUUAUAUGGGAAGAUAAUGACGGUACCAUAUGAAUAAGCACCGGCUAACUCCGUGCCAGCAGCCGCGGUAAUACGGAGGGUGCAAGCGUUACUCGGAAUCACUGGGCGUAAAGCGCGCGCAGGCGGCCUUUUAAGUUGGAUGUGAAAGCCUACGGCUCAACCGUAGAACUGCAUCCAAAACUAUUGGGCUAGAGUGUGGGAGAGGAAGAUGGAAUUAGUUGUGUAGGGGUAAAAUCCGUAGAGAUAACUAGGAAUACCAAAAGCGAAGGCAAUCUUCUGGAACAUUACUGACGCUGAGGCGCGAAAGCGUGGGGAGCAAACAGGAUUAGAUACCCUGCUAGUCCACGCCCUAAACGAUGAAUGUUAGUCGGCCGGGUAGCUAGUCUAUUCGGUGAUGCAGCUAAACGCAUUAAACAUUCCGCCUGGGGAGUACGGUCGCAAGAUUAAAACUCAAAGGAAUAGACGGGCGACCCGCACCAAGUUGGUGGAGCAUGUUGUUUAAUUCGGAAGAAUACGCGAAGAAACCGUAACCUAGCCUGACAUAUAUUAGAACACUUUUAGAAGAUAGAGGUGGGUGCCUUCGGGACCUUUUAUACCGGUGCUGCACGGCUGUCGUCAGCUCGAGUCAUGAAAAGUUGGGUUAAGUCCGCAAAGGACGC